rnacentral:lncRNA from 1 species
GUUCAGUCAUUGACUUUGUGGCGGCGCUGUUUUUUCCCCCGGGUCUCCAAGCCUUUCGAAACGCUGCCCUACGCGCAUCACCUGUCACCCGGGCUGCCACGGUAGGGCGGGCAGGGUGUGUCAGGAUCUUAUGUAACCCAAGACAGCCUGGAACUAUCUAUAGAGCCAUGGAUGACCUUGAAUUCCUGAUCCGCCUGCCCCUACCUCCCAAGUUCUGAGGUGACAGCAUUUCUAUGCCUGGUUCCAGAUUUUUUGUAAUAUUGAAGCCAUCUAGGAUCCCUCUACAUGGAUAGUCUUAUAC